rnacentral:rRNA from 1 species
CCUACGGGUGGCAGCAGUGAGGAAUAUUGGUCAAUGGACGAGAGUCUGAUCCAGCCACGUAGCGUGAAGGAUGAAUGCCCUAUGGGUUUGAAACUCCUUUUAUAUGGGAAUAAAACGUUCCAUGUUUGUGAUUGUGUCUGUGCCCUAUUACUAAGGAGCAGCUAACUCCGUGCCAGCAGCCGCGGUAAUACGCAGGAUGCGAGCGUUAUCCGGAUGUAUUGGGUGUAAAGGGAGCGUCGGUGGAUUUGUAAGUCAGGAGUGAAAGGUUGGGGCUCAACCGUAUAACUGCAGUUGAAACUUGCAGGCUGGAGUGCAGUAGAGGUGGGCGGAAUUCGUAGUGUAGCGGUGAAAUGCGUAGAUAUCAGGAAGAACACCGGUUGCGAAGGCAGUUCACUGGACUGCAACUGACGCUGAGGCUCGAAAGUGUGGGGAGCAAACAGGAUUAGAUACCCGUGUAGUC